CUCCCCCGGUGAAAAAAGGGAACCACGAUUGGCUGACCGAGACUACGGAAAGAAAAAAACCCGCAAACACCCAAAAAACCAGAGGCAUCCCUAAAGACUGAUUCUCGGUGUUUGACUCCAGAGGGAGACUUUGAUGCUAAGCAUGAAGAAUUCAACCCUCCUCGUCAUUUCACAUAUUGAGCAUAUAAUUUGCGGGGAGAUUACAACUCGAAUCUUCUUAGGUGCCUCUGGUUUCUGACACAGCAGCAGCUUUUGAAUCCGUGUUUUUUUUUUUUUAAAUUUCUCCUCCCGCUUAAUCUCCAGAGCGGCCAAUUUACAGACAGGAGGAGUUUUUACUUUAUCUGUUCCAACCACAUUCCCACUUCAUGCCUUUGUAUCAGGAAGCAGCUUCGAUGGUGUGUUGCUCGGUGCAUGUUUGCUGAUGUGUGUGUGUUUGCACGUGUGCACCUGGAUAUUCCUGAAGAUGCUGGGAACGACGGUGAGCAAGUGUAGGAGGGUGAGGACCUAUAUUGUAUAACAAACCGAAGACACCACGGAGGCUGCAUUUGUUAGAGAAAUCACAAGCAGAUGGAGAGGAGGGCAGAGAGAGACAGAGGGAAGCAGGCUCCCCGCCGAUCAGAGAGCCCGACGCGGGACUCCAUCCCAGCACCCCGAGACCACGACCCGAGCCGAACGCAGCGGCUCAACCCACUGAGCCACCCAGGCGCCCCAUAUAUUUUUAUCCCCAGGGGUACAGGUCUGUGAAUCGCCAGGUUUACACACUUCACAGCACUCAUCAAGGCACAUACCCUCCCCAAUGUCCAUAACCCCACCCUCCUUGAAAUUUUUUUUUUAAAGAUAUUUCACAGGUGAGACAUGUGUCUUGUGGUUGCUCUGCUGUGCUGGGUGAUGUGGAAAGGCAGUGCUCUCUAGCCCAAAGCAAGCUUCUAGGGCCAUCUUGGUGAGUCAGAGAGCCAAUAGGCCGCCAGGAAAGCUGGGGCUGGAGGGGCUACCUUUAGCUUCUUCCAGGCCUGGAAAACUGGUUGACCCAGCCCAAGCAUAUUGUUGGUGUUUAUUAAAAAGGUUGAUUUGGGGAAUGUGGUGUUUGCCAUGCAGUGUCAUGCCUCAAAGCCUUGGUUUCCAGCCUUUAUUUAUAAGCCUAAUUGUUGCUAUGGAAAUUCAAUAUUUAAAGAGGUAAUUAUUGCUGAUCUUGUUGCAUGUGUCCAUUUCUGAUGUCCAGCUGUGAGCUCUUUAGCUCCAGUCUAGCAGAUUAAUUACUGCUAUUGAUUACUUUGAGCUUCUCUCUUCACACCUGCAGUCUGUGUAAUUAGCUGGUGGCCUCCUCUGAAAAUUAGGAGCAGUUUCAUUCUGGCACUUUGCCAUUUCCCAGCCAUGUGCACUGCACUGAUGAACAAAAGCAAAUCUAUUUUAAAUAGAGAUAUCUGGGUAAUGAACUCUUUGUGUUUUUGAACUAUCCGUGGAUAAUUCAAAUUACCCUCUGUUAGCAAAUAUUGUACCUCAUUUGAUGACUAUCUGCAAAGAAAAAAUUCCAAAACACUGGUUUUUAUUCCCAUUUCCACCUUGCAGAAAUUUGCUCCUGUGUGUAUAUGUGUUUUUUUGUUGUUGUUAUUUUUUUAAAAUCAAAACAACUUUCUAAUUCUGCCGAGGGUAUUGGGGCACUGGAGUAGGUUCCCUAAUGGAACCCAGUGGAAGCAGUUGAGUUUGCACGGAGUCUUCCGGGCACGCAUUGUACCAGUGUUCAUCCUUUUGUUAGAUUCACACUCCUAGUCUGAGAGGCACAUCACCAUUCGUGGGAACCACUGACAUACAUGGGGAAUAAAAAAAAAGGUUCCCAUUUAAAAAAUGAUUUAGGAAGAGCUACGAGAGAGGAAUUAUGGGAAUCUUCACCAUUUUCUUCUCUACUUUAUUUCUGCUACUAAGAUUUUUUUUUUCCUGUCUCUGCUUAUUGGGAAUCCAAUCUGGCACUGCCAACCAUCAAAGUCUAGAGCUCUGCCUCUAGUGUCCUGUUAUGACACUUUCUCAUCUGUCGUGUGUUACUGCCUGAACACUCAGGAAAAACCAGUUGGUAGUGGCACUGGGAGUGGACUUCCCAAGUAAUGACAUGCGAUGAUUACUAACGGGGCCAGCUGUUCCCUUCUCUGCCGACAGGGUCCCACUAAUGCUCCCUUUUGCUAUUUAACUUGUGUUGAGUUAUUAUACUAAGGGUUAUUGCUUAUUGUAGGAAAAAAUGAAGCGCUUUCCUCCUGCCCGUGGCAUACAUCUGCCAGCUUUCAUUUCAAGCUUAGAGUGGAUAAGUAUGUCCCAAAGCCCACCCCACACAUGGAAGGAAAAAAGUUCAGAAAGUUCCCACUUGUCAGAACAAUGGAAGCACCAUUCCAUUGAUGUCAAGCACAGAUGUGUUCGGUUGGAUCCCAGCAACGUGGGAAUGCUUCAUCAGCUCUAAGAUCGCCUCUGUGGAAGCAAAGCCACGCUACCUCCUGCCAUCCAGGGAAUCAGGUGGGAGACGGGCACGGAGUGAGAAUGAGUGAAAAGAGUAGGGCAUUCACUCAUCAACUCAACGAAGCUUUGGGGCAUCUAAUGGGGAGGCUGAAUGCCGGCCUUCCGACCAGAAGGUCCCCAGCUGGAAUCUCAUCAUUUCCACUGUUUCCAGAUUAAAAUUUAAAUUGUGCACUGCCAUUUGGAGGCCUUCUGGGCAGGGUCUUGCAGUGUCACCAGUUAUUAGGAAUGCCUCCCAUUAUCACAACCCUAAAAGCUAUUUGAACAGCAGCCUAAUGCGAUUGUGAUUUCCAAGGAUCAUUUACUGUUACUGCAGCUCUGCUCAGAUGUGAGUGGGAGCAGCUAACCGAAGUUUCUUUCUCAUAGUACCAGAGAGGAGCGUCGGAGGCACCAGAGACAUAUUUUGAUGGCCAUAAAGAUAAAUUCUCCCCAAGUAAACAAUCUUUUGUUUCCCCCACUUGGGCAUGGUCAUCUCUAAUUCUGGCAAACGGCAACACUUUCUCCAUUAUAGGAGAAUAAACUUUAGAAACUCGCACUGAUGAUAAUCUCCACUCAACUGGAAAUACAAAAACACGGUUGUAAGAGGGUACAGCAACAGUGAGACACAAAGUGUAGUUGUGUAUAACUUUCUGUACCGAGGGGUUACAUUGCGCUGUUCAAGUGAAAGGAAUUUAUGCAUAUGCGCACAUAUAUACACAAAUACUUUACUUUUUGGCAUUGCAGAAUUCAACAUGCUUUACCUUGUAAAUAUCCGUGGCUGUGCACAGCGUGUGUGUCGUGAAGUGACACGUCACAGAUCUUUCUGGUGGAUGAAGGUGCUUUAACUACUGGUUUUUCAGCACUGCCUGAGAAAUGAAAAUCUGCCUUGUUCAGUUUUUAAACCUGAUUUAUAAAACCAUUAAAUUUUUUAAACCACAGUAAAG